CCUACGGGUGGCUGCAGUGGGGAAUAUUGGGCAAUGGGCGCAAGCCUGACCCAGCAACGCCGCGUGAAGGAAGAAGGCCCUCGGGUUGUAAACUUCUUUUCUCAAGGACGAAACAAAUGACGGUACUUGAUGAAUAAGCCUCGGCUAAAUACGUGCCAGCAGCAGCGGUAAUACGUCGGUGGCAAGCUUUAUCCGGAUUGACUGGUUGUAAAGGGCGUGUAGGCGGGCGUGCAAGUAAGAUGUGAAAACCAUGGGCUCAACCCAUGCCCUGCAUUUGAAACUGUAGUUCUUGAGUGUUGGAGAGGCAGGCGGAAGUCCGGGUGUAGCGGUGAAAUGCGUAGAUAUACGGAGGAACACCAGUGGCGAAGGCGGCCUGCUGGACAAUAACUGACGCUGAGGCGCGAAAGCGUGGGGAGCAAACAGGAUUAGAUACCCGUGUAGUC
rnacentral:rRNA from 1 species